UACAUUCUAAUGUCACUACCACAGCCGAUUCCACACACUUUUUGAGGUCUUUUUAGGUUGUAACGGGGCUUGGGUACGGUAGGAUAAACAAAAAAAUUGGAUAACAAAGGGUUUUGAACUCGGUAGUCAUGUUGUGUGAUUUUUCUUUCUCUUUUUUUUUUCGUGCAUCACGUAUACUCUGGGGGUUAAUUUCACUCUUUUGACUCUUUUUCUACUCACAUUUUCCGAGCAUUUUAUAUCUGUUAGAGUCUUAGGUCUCGGCAAGUGCAUUUUUCUCUUUUGUUUUUCUUUUCUUUUUUUUCUUUUUUUUUCUUUUAAAGAAAAUACAUACUAUUUUUCUUUUUGUAUGAUCUCAUAUUAUGCACUUGC
rnacentral:lncRNA from 1 species